GUGAGGAGCUGUUGAAGGGAGUCAUUCUGCUGGAGAAAUAGAGCAGUACAAACCUUAUCAGGCACAACAAAGGAGGCCCUGAGGCAUAACCUUGGUGGGAAGGGAAUUCUUGACUAGCACAGCUGGUAUCUUGCAACUCUCAGAUGAUGAAGACAUAAUGCUAAUGCCUAAAACACUACUGCAUUCAAGGUCAGUUUCAUCAUUGCUGUAUAUGGUGCUAUAAGUGGAUCAGAAAUCAAUGGGACUUGUAUGUAACCUGAACAGAUUUGGCUUUCAGUAGAUAUACCGGAGUGUAACUUACACAGCAAGCAUGUGGAAACCUGUAUAAAACAAUGCAAAUUACAGUCCUUCCCAUACUUCGGUUUUCUAACCUGUAUUUAAAUUAUACUACCAUUUCUGUCACUGCUGCAUUUAGCCUGUGAGUAACUGUACCUGCUUAUAUCUGUAGUAUAUUAUAAUA